GACGAACGCUGGCGGCGUGCCUAACACAUGCAAGUCGAACGGAGUUAAGUCUUCGGUAUUUAACUUAGUGGCGAACGGGUGAGUAACGCGUGAGAAACCUGCCUUUCAGUGGGGGACAACAGUUGGAAACGACUGCUAAUACCGCAUAAUGUGCCGGAGGGCAUCCCUCUGGUACCAAAGCUUUAUGUGCUGAAAGAUGGUCUCGCGUCUGAUUAGCUAGAUGGCGGGGUAACGGCCCACCAUGGCGACGAUCAGUAGCCGGUCUGAGAGGAUGAACGGCCACAUUGGGACUGAGAUACGGCCCAG
rnacentral:rRNA from 1 species